rnacentral:piRNA from 7 species
GCAAUAACAGGUCUGUGAUGCCCUUAGA